rnacentral:rRNA from 1 species
GGAAUUACUGGGCGUAAAGGGCGCGUAGGCGGUCUUAUAAGUUUGGUGUGAAAGCCCUGGGCUUAACCUAGGAAUAGCAUUGGAUACUGUAAGACUUGAGACCGAGAGAGGGAAAUGGAAUUGCGAGUGUAGAGGUGAAAUUCGUAGAUAUUCGCAAGAACACCAGUGGCGAAGGCGAUUUCCUGGCUCGGUACUGACGCUAAGGCGCGAAAGCGUGGGGAGCAAACAGGAUUAGAUACCCUGGUAGUCCACGCUGUAAACGAUGAAUGCUAGAUGUUGGGGAUUAAAAUCUUCAGUGUCGUCGCUAACGCAAUAAGCAUUCCGCCUGGGGAGUACGGUCGCAAGAUUAAAACUCAAAGGAAUUGACGG